rnacentral:rRNA from 1 species
GGGUUGUGAGGUUAAGCGACUAAGCGUACACGGUGGAUGCCCUGGCAGUCAGAGGCGAUGAAGGACGUGCUAAUCUGCGAAAAGCGCCGGCGAGGUGAUAUGAACCUUUGACCCGGCGAUGUCCGAAUGGGGAAACCCAGUGCAAUUCGUUGCACUAUCGUUAACUGAAUACAUAGGUUAACGAGGCGAACCGGGGGAACUGAAACAUCUAAGUACCCCGAGGAAAAGAAAUCAACCGAGAUUCCCCCAGUAGCGGCGAGCGAACGGGGAGCAGCCCGGAGUCUGAAUCAGCUUGUGUGUUAGUGGAACGGUCUGGAAAGUCCGACGGUACAGGGUGAUAGUCCCGUACACGAAAGCACACAUGCUGUGAACUCGAAGAGUAGGGCGGGACACGUGGUAUCCUGUCUGAAUAUGGGGGGACCAUCCUCCAAGGCUAAAUACUCCUGACUGACCGAUAGUGAACCAGUACCGUGAGGGAAAGGCGAAAAGAACCCCGGCGAGGGGAGUGAAAAAGAACCUGAAACCGUGUACGUACAAGCAGUGGGAGCCUCUUUAUGGGGUGACUGCGUACCUUUUGUAUAAUGGGUCAGCGACUUAUAUUCUGUAGCAAGGUUAACCGUAUAGGGGAGCCGAAGGGAAACCGAGUCUUAACUGGGCGUUAAGUUGCAGGGUAUAGACCCGAAACCCGGUGAUCUAGCCAUGGGCAGGUUGAAGGUUGGGUAACACUAACUGGAGGACCGAACCGACUAAUGUUGAAAAAUUAGCGGAUGACCUGUGGCUGGGGGUGAAAGGCCAAUCAAACCGGGAGAUAGCUGGUUCUCCCCGAAAGCUAUUUAGGUAGCGCCUCGUGAACUCAUCUUCGGGGGUAGAGCACUGUUUCGGCUAGGGGGCCAUCCCGGCUUACCAACCCGAUGCAAACUACGAAUACCGAAGAAUGUUAUCACGGGAGACACACGGCGGGUGCUAACGUCCGUCGUGAAGAGGGAAACAACCCAGACCGCCAGCUAAGGUCCCAAAGUCAUGGUUAAGUGGGAAACGAUGUGGGAAGGCACAGACAGCCAGGAUGUUGGCUUAGAAGCAGCCAUCAUUUAAAGAAAGCGUAAUAGCUCACUGGUCGAGUCGGCCUGCGCGGAAGAUGUAACGGGGCUAAACCAUGCACCGAAGCUGCGGCAGCGACGCUUAUGCGUUGUUGGGUAGGGGAGCGUUCUGUAAGCCGUUGAAGGUGUCCUGUGAGGGGUGCUGGAGGUAUCAGAAGUGCGAAUGCUGACAUAAGUAACGAUAAAGCGGGUGAAAAGCCCGCUCGCCGGAAGACCAAGGGUUCCUGUCCAACGUUAAUCGGGGCAGGGUGAGUCGACCCCUAAGGCGAGGCCGAAAGGCGUAGUCGAUGGGAAACAGGUUAAUAUUCCUGUACUUGGUGUUACUGCGAAGGGGGGACGGAGAAGGCUAUGUCAGCCGGGCGACGGUUGUCCCGGUUUAAGCAUGUAGGCGGAGGUUCCAGGUAAAUCCGGUACCUUAUUAACGCUGAGGUGUGAUGACGAGGCACUACGGUGCUGAAGUGAUAAAUGCCCUGCUUCCAGGAAAAGCCUCUAAGCAUCAGGUAACACGAAAUCGUACCCCAAACCGACACAGGUGGUCAGGUAGAGAAUACCAAGGCGCUUGAGAGAACUCGGGUGAAGGAACUAGGCAAAAUGGUGCCGUAACUUCGGGAGAAGGCACGCUGAUAUGUAGGUGAAGUCCCUGCGGACGGAGCUGAAAUCAGUCGAAGAUACCAGCUGGCUGCAACUGUUUAUUAAAAACACAGCACUGUGCAAACACGAAAGUGGACGUAUACGGUGUGACGCCUGCCCGGUGCCGGAAGGUUAAUUGAUGGGGUUAGCGGCAACGCGAAGCUCUUGAUCGAAGCCCCGGUAAACGGCGGCCGUAACUAUAACGGUCCUAAGGUAGCGAAAUUCCUUGUCGGGUAAGUUCCGACCUGCACGAAUGGCGUAAUGAUGGCCAGGCUGUCUCCACCCGAGACUCAGUGAAAUUGAACUCGCUGUGAAGAUGCAGUGUACCCGCGGCAAGACGGAAAGACCCCGUGAACCUUUACUAUAGCUUGACACUGAACACUGGUCCUUGAUGUGUAGGAUAGGUGGGAGGCUUUGAAGCGUGGACGCCAGUCUGCGUGGAGCCAACCUUGAAAUACCACCCUUUAAUGGCUGGUGUUCUAACGUAGACCCGUAAUCCGGGUUGCGGACAGUGUCUGGUGGGUAGUUUGACUGGGGCGGUCUCCUCCCAAAGAGUAACGGAGGAGCACGAAGGUUGGCUAAUCCUGGUCGGACAUCAGGAGGUUAGUGCAAUGGCAUAAGCCAGCUUGACUGCGAGCGUGACGGCGCGAGCAGGUGCGAAAGCAGGUCAUAGUGAUCCGGUGGUUCUGAAUGGAAGGGCCAUCGCUCAACGGAUAAAAGGUACUCCGGGGAUAACAGGCUGAUACCGCCCAAGAGUUCAUAUCGACGGCGGUGUUUGGCACCUCGAUGUCGGCUCAUCACAUCCUGGGGCUGAAGUAGGUCCCAAGGGUAUGGCUGUUCGCCAUUUAAAGUGGUACGCGAGCUGGGUUUAGAACGUCGUGAGACAGUUCGGUCCCUAUCUGCCGUGGGCGCUGGAGAAUUGAGGGGGGCUGCUCCUAGUACGAGAGGACCGGAGUGGACGCAUCACUGGUGUUCGGGUUGUCAUGCCAAUGGCACUGCCCGGUAGCUAAAUGCGGAAGAGAUAAGUGCUGAAAGCAUCUAAGCACGAAACUUGCCCCGAGAUGAGUUCUCCCUGAGACUUUAAGUCUCCUGAAGGAACGUUGAAGACGACGACGUUGAUAGGUCGGGUGUGUAAGCGCAGCGAUGCGUUGAGCUAACCGAUACUAAUGAACCGUGAGGCUUAACCUUACAACGCCGAAGCUGUU